UACGUAGGGGGCUAGCGUUGUCCGGAAUCAUUGGGCGUAAAGCGCGUGUAGGCGGCCCGGUAAGUCCGCUGUGAAAGUCGGGGGCUCAACCCUCGGAUGCCGGUGAAUACUGUCGGGCUUGAGUACGGAAGAGGCGAGUGGAAUUCCUGGUGUAGCGGUGAAAUGCGCAGAUAUCAGGAGGAACACCAAUUGCGAAGGCAGCUCGCUGGGACGUAACUGACGCUGAGACGCGAAAGCGUGGGGAGCAAACAGG
rnacentral:rRNA from 1 species